CAAUAGCGUAUAUUAAAGUUGUUGCAGUUAAAAAGCUCGUAGUUGGAUUUCUGGUGGGAGCGAUCGGUCUGGCGCUUAGCGCGAGUACUUGCAUCGUCUCCGGCCAUCCUUGGGGAGAGUCUGUCUGGCAUUAGGUUGUCGGGCAGAGGAUCCUCAUCGUUUACUGUGAAAAAAUUAGAGUGUUCAAAGCAGGCUUAUGCCGUUGAAUAUAUUAGCAUGGAAUAAUAAGAUAGGACUUUGGUACUAUUUUGUUGGCUUGCGCACCAAAGUAAUGAUUAAUAGGGACAGUUGGGGGUAUUCGUAUUCCGUUGUCAGAGGUGAAAUUCUUGGAUUUACGGAAGACGAACUACUGCGAAAGCAUUUACCAAGGAUGUUUUCAUUAA
rnacentral:rRNA from 1 species